rnacentral:tRNA from 1 species
GCUUUCGUGGCGUAACGGUAGCACACUCGGCGCGUAUUCGAGAGGUCCAGGUUCGAGUCCCGGCAAGGGCA